rnacentral:misc_RNA from 1 species
GAUGAAGAACGCAGCGAAAUGCGAUAAGUAAUGUGAAUUGCAGAAUUCAGUGAACCAUCGAAUCUUUGAACGCACAUUGCGCCCGCCAGUAUUCUGGCGGGCAUGCCUGUCCGAGCGUCAUUUCAACCCUCGAACCCCUCCGGGGGGUCGGCGUUGGGGAUCGGCCCUUUACGGGGCCGGCCCCGAAAUACAGUGGCGGUCUCGCCGCAGCCUCUCCUGCGCAGUAGUUUGCACACUCGCAUCGGGAGCGCGGCGCGUCCAAUGCCGUAAAACACCCAACUUUCUGAAAUGUUGACCUCGGAUCAGGUAGGAAUACCCGCUGAACUUAAGCAUAUCAAUAAGCGGAGGA